rnacentral:rRNA from 15 species
CUCUCGGCAACGGAUAUCUCGGCUCUCGCAUCGAUGAAGAACGUAGCAAAAUGCGAUACCUGGUGUGAAUUGCAGAAUCCCGCGAACCAUCGAGUUUUUGAACGCAAGUUGCGCCCGAGGCCUUCGGGCCGAGGGCACGUCUGCCUGGGCGUCACGCCA